GACGAACGCUGGCGGCGUGCCUAAUACAUGCAAGUCGAGCGGACGAAUCGAAAGCUUGCUUUUGAUUCGUUAGCGGCGGACGGGUGAGUAACACGUGGGCAACCUGCCCUGUAGACGGGGAUAACACCGAGAAAUCGGUGCUAAUACCGGAUAACACGAAAUGUCGCAUGACGUCUCGUUGAAAGACGGCGCAAGCUGUCGCUACAGGAUGGGCCCGCGGCGCAUUAGCUAGUUGGUGAGGUAACGGCUCACCAAGGCGACGAUGCGUAGCCGACCUGAGAGGGUGAUCGGCCACACUGGGACUGAGACACGGCCCAGACUCCUACGGGAGGCAGCAGUAAGGAAUCUUCCGCAAUGGACGAAAGUCUGACGGAGCAACGCCGCGUGAGCGAAGAAGGCCUUCGGGUCGUAAAGCUCUGUUGUUAGGGAAGAACAAGUAACGCAGUAACUGGCGUUACCGUGACGGUACCUAACGAGAAAGCCACGGCUAACUACGUG
rnacentral:rRNA from 1 species